ensembl:scaRNA small Cajal body-specific RNA 3B
AAUGGAAGCUGCAAAACCAAGCAUGUAGACAAAGGAGAAAAUGUCUUUUGUCUGCAGAAAGCAGCGGUCCUACAUGAACAUGGAGGUCUCUGUCUGACUUAGAAGAGCUGGCUAAGUCUGAUCGUUCACCUCCAUACAGC